GUCUGCGUUGCCAUGGCAGCCCUCCCUAUUAUUCAUGGUCCUCCAGCCACCUCUCAUCUCUCCAUUGCUCUCCAGCCCUCCCUCUUGUUUUUUCCUUCAUUUAUGAUACUUCCCGACCUGUGCUCACCAAAAGAAAACCUCCAAUCCUGUAACGGAAAGAUUGAGUACGGCAGUACGGCUUCUGAACGCAACAGGUAUCAUCUACAGUAAGCCUGCCGAGCCUACAAAGGAAGCACCCCUUCUCAUCAUGUCAUCUGUGAAGUCGUGGUUUCCCAGUUUCAAUGCUACCCCAACAGCGUUGAGCCUCAUGACCCCAACCACACUCCUCCCUGAGGAAAGGCACCACAUGGAAAUACAGACCAUUGUGAUUAUUGUCAUUUUCUGUGUUGUCUGCUUCCUUCUCCUGCUGGCCUUCUUUUAUGCCUCCUGCUUCCACUUUUCCAUCGGUUCAUCUCGGAAGGAGUCACGGUCGGCUAACGGAUGCAGCCUAGAGCCAGAGGACACCACAUAUAGGCACAGCUCAUUUGAAAUCCAGUCAGUACAAAACGUAGUCUGACUGAUAAGAACAGUAAAAGUAAUAACUAUAAGCUUUCUUGUCAUUUUGACUAUAAGCUACACCAAAGAAAAACUUUGAGAUAACUGAAAGGCACUGGUUUGAUGUAUUAUAGAGCUGAAAGAAAAUUACACACAAAAAAUUGUGAAAAUUUUCAAUUAAAUUAACGUCACUUUGUCCCUGUGUACAUACUGUAUACAACAUUUAUCUAAUAUUAAUCUAUAGCUGAAUAUAAAAAUGCAAAAUAAAAGAUAUAAAUCAUAUGAAAAUGUAAACAUGAGUGAAUUAUGUUGUCGUUGAGGAUCAAGAAAAAUAAAUGCAUCUAUACAGAGA